CGUUCUAUGGCCGAGUUGGUAAAGGAAUCGCCGAUCAGAGGCGAGGUUGCAGGUUCGAGUCCCGCUGGAACGA
rfam:Operophtera brumata OBRT01_Sc00088, whole genome shotgun sequence.